UGAGGAAUAUUGGUCAAUGGGCGAGAGCCUGAACCAGCCACGUCGCGUGAAGGAAGACUGACCUUACGGUUUGUAAACUUCUUUUGUAGAGGGGUAAUGGCAGAUACGUGUAUUUGCGUGAAAGUACUCUACGAAUAAGCAUCGGCUAACUCCGUGCCAGCAGCCGCGGUAAUACGGGGGAUGCGAGCGUUAUCCGGGAUUAUUGGGUUUAAAGGGUGCGCAUGUGGCUAAUCAGGUCAGUGGUGAAAAGCUAUGGCUCAACCAUGGUCUUGCCAUUGAAACCGUAUAGCUAGAGAGUAGCCGAGGUAGGCGGAAUGUGUGGUGUAGCGGUGAAAUGCAUAGAUAUCACACAGAACCCCGUUUGCGAAGGCAGCUUACCAGGCUUUAUAUGAAACUUAGGCACGACAGCGGGGGGAUCAAACAGG
rnacentral:rRNA from 1 species